AUGCCAAGUCAUGCAACAAGAGCCUGCAGAGCCCAGCAGACAGACAUGUGUGCAAGACCAGGGAUGUGGGAAGCAGAGGAAAGUGGCAGACAAGCCAUGCGUCUGUCAACAGUGACCCUGGAGCUGUGCAUCACAGAGAAACAGCAUCAUUUUAGAGGCAUACAACUAGCGGUUGCUUCACACGGAACGAGGCAGUGAACACAGGUAAAUGUCAUCCUUUCCUGUUCUUCAAUAGAAACUGUGUUUACAAGAGCAAAAGAGUAGUGCAGAAGGCCAAAAGUCUAAGUACUAAAGUUUUAAAACCACACAGAUAUAAAAAUAUACAUGUCCUUGGUUUUUGUAUGUUACUGCGGGAUCUACUUCAGCAUAAGGAUUGUUUUAGCCUCAUAGUAUUAGCUCUGCCGCCAGGCUACCUUACCCUUGAGCUCGGCUCUCCUGAAACUCUAGAAUCCCUUUUCCCAAACACACCUUAUCAGAAAGCCAGUCGGAAAACGGGUUUGUAAUAUGGUGCACAGGAAACCUUCACUUUCUUUCCUUCCUUUCCAUUAUCUCCCCUGGUUUGGAUGUCCACCCUGCAUUCUCGGGGCACAUGACAGUGAUACAUUUUUUAAAAAGAAGGUGGUCAAUUGGAGACCAAAAAGGUAAAUUUUAAUCUCAAAAAGCUUCACAGCUCUCCUUCAGGGUUCCACAGUUUUAGGGCCCGUAAGUCUAUUAAAGCUUUAGUUCCCCUUUACAAGGAAAAGGAAAUGUGAACCAAAAUCAUUUCAACGGGUAAUGGGCACUAGUGGGCAUCACCAACUCUGAGGCAGGAACACAGGAGGAAAGUACCAUUGCAGUGACCAGAAACCCAGCCAUGUGUGUAACAGGGAUUUCUGGCUGUAGCCUGUGUGGACAACACUGCAACUAAUAAAACCCCCUUACGGCUUCCA
rnacentral:lncRNA from 1 species